rnacentral:rRNA from 1 species
UACGGGGGGGGCAAGCGUUGUUCGGAAUUACUGGGCGUAAAGGGUUUGUAGGUGGCCCGCUAAGUCACACGUGAAAUCCCUCAGCUUAACUGGGGAACUGCGUGUGAGACUGGCAGGCUUGAGUGCAGGAGAGGAACGCGGAAUUCCAGGUGUAGCGGUGAAAUGCGUAGAUAUCUGGAGGAACACCGGUGGCGAAGGCGGCAUCCUGGACCGACAUUGACGCUGAGGCGCGAAAGCCAGGGGAGCAAACGGG